rnacentral:rRNA from 1 species
AGAGUUUGAUCCUGGCUCAGAACGAACGCUGGCGGCGCGCCUAAUACAUGCAAGUCGAGCGAGAAGGUGUAGCAAUACACUUGUAAAGCGGCGAACGGGUGAGGAAUGCAUGGGUAACCUACCCUCGAGUGGGGAAUAACUAGCCGAAAGGUUAGCUAAUACCGCAUACGUUUCCGGAACUUCGGUUUCGGAAAGAAAGCAAUACCGUGGGUAUUGCGCUCCUGGAUGGGCUCAUGUCCUAUCAGCUUGUUGGUGAGGUAACGGCUCACCAAGGCUUCGACGGGUAGCUGGUCUGAGAGGACGAUCAGCCACACUGGCACUGCGACACGGGCCAGACUCCUACGGGAGGCAGCAGUAAGGAAUAUUGCGCAAUGGACGAAAGUCUGACGCAGCGACGCCGCGUGGGGGAUGAAGGUCUUCGGAUUGUAAACCCCUUUCGGGAGGGAAGAUGGAGUGGGUAACCACUUGGACGGUACCUCCAGAAGCAGCCACGGCUAACUUCGUGCCAGCAGCCGCGGUAAUACGAAGGUGGCAAGCGUUGUUCGGAUUCACUGGGCGUACAGGGAGCGUAGGCGGUUGGGUAAGCCCUCCGUGAAAUCUCCGGGCCUAACCCGGAAAGUGCAGAGGGGACUGCUCACUAGAGGAUGGGAGAGAGCGCGGAAUUCCCGGUGUANCGGUGAAAUGCGUAAAAUCGGAGAAGCCGGUGCAAAGCGGCCUCUG